UGAUAGUGUUCCAUCAAAAGCAAU
rnacentral:sRNA from 1 species